UGGGGAAUUUUCCGCAAUGGGGGGAACCCUGACGGAGCAACGCCGCGUGCGGGAGGACGGCCUGUGGGUUGUAAACCGCUUUUCUCUAGGAAGAAGAUCUGACGGUACUAGAGGAAUCAGCAUCGGCUAACUCCGUGCCAGCAGCCGCGGUAAGACGGAGGAUGCAAGCGUUGUCCGGAAUUAUUGGGCGUAAAGAGCUCGUAGGCGGUUGCGUAAGUCGGAUGUGAAAGCUCAGGGCUCAACCCUGAGACGCCAUCCGAUACUGCGCUGACUUGAAUCCAGUAGGGGAGUGUGGAAUUCCUGGUGUAGCGGUGAAAUGCGCAGAUAUCAGGAGGAACACCUAUGGCGAAGGCAGCACUCUGGGCUGGUAUUGACGCUGAGGAGCGAAAGCAUGGGUAGCAAACAGGAUUAGAUACCCCCGUAGUCC
rnacentral:rRNA from 1 species